GUGACCUGACAAAACAGACCGCGCACACGUCAUCCAGCCCGUUGAGCGGCGGCUCCGUUCGUCGCUUGGCCAAAGUCCUCGAUAACCACCUCUCUUCGGAGAAGUGGCUCGGGGUAAAAGAACCCACGGCGCCGAAGGCGUCAAGGAACACUGUGCCUAACUCGGGGACGCGGUUGGCUUGCUGGCUGCCCCCGUGUUGCAAUGCUAUUUAAUCCACACGACUCUCGGCAACGGAUAUCUCGGCUCUCGCAUCGAUGAAGAACGUAGCGAAAUGCGAUACCUGGUGUGAAUUGCAGAAUCCCGCGAACCAUCGAGUCUUUGAACGCAAGUUGCGCCCGAGGCCUUUUGGCUAAGGGCACGCCUGCCUGGGCGUCACGCCAAACACGCUCCCAACCCACAACCUAGGUCGGGAUGCGGCAUGUGGCUCCCCGUCUCGCAAGGGGCGGUGGGCCUAAGAUUCGGCUGCCGGCGUAUCGUGUCGGACACAGCGCGUGGUAGGCGACCUCGCUUUACUAAUCGCAGUGCAUCCGACACGUAGCCCACUCUAUGGCCUCAACUGACCCUAUUAACGGAGCGCUGGACGCUUCGACC
rnacentral:misc_RNA from 1 species